UACGGGGGGGGCAAGCGUUGUUCGGAAUUACUGGGCGUAAAGGGCUCGUAGGUGGCCAACUAAGUCGGACGUGAAAUCCCUCGGCUUAACUGGGGAACUGCGUCCGAUACUGGAUGGCUUGAGUUUGGGAGAGGGAUGCGGAAUUCCCGGUGUAGAGGUGAAAUUCGUAGAUAUCGGGAGGAACACCGGUGGCGAAGGCGGCGACCUGGGUCGAGACUGACGCUGAUGCGCGAAAGCGUGGGGAGCAAACAGG
rnacentral:rRNA from 1 species